UUAUUUCAGUGAUAAAUUAUAUAUAAACUUCUCACAAAAUAGAAGAAUGCAGAAACAAUUAUUUAUGGGGCCUCAAAAUUUAUAGGCCCAUGGAUGAUGGGCCACCAGAAAAAAAAAAAAAAAAAAUCUAGGGCAAAUAAUUUCAGCCCUCCCCAAUCGGCUCCAUCUAUCUCUGUUCUCGUUCUAAACUCUGAACUUGCCCUCUCUCUCUCUCUCUGCAACUGCAAACUACAAAAUCUACAAGAAUCAGAAGUUCAAAACCCAUAUAUUUCAGUUUAUCUAUCUGUCUGCAAGAAUCAAAAGUUCAAAACCAAUUACCUAUAUCAAAUCCCAUAUCGGCAUAUCAUUUCAGAUUGUUCAAAAAAUCAAAACCCAUAUCUUUCAGUUUCCCUCGCCCGCUGUUCCAGUUCGGGUUCGCCGUUCGCAUGCUUCAGCCGCUGUCUCUCAACUCUCAAGCUUGCCCAUCUCUCUCUCUCUCUCUGCAACUGCUAACUUGUAUGUAUGGGUUUUGCUGCUAACGGCAGAAAUUUCAAAUUCCAAGUUCUGCUGCUAACGGCAGAAAUUUCAAAUUUCAAGUUCUCUCUUCUUCUCUUCUUUAUUUCUACCAAUUCUUUCCCUUCAUCACCAGACCAACCAAGACCUGUAUCCACAAACCACUUCCGUCUCUUUCUCUCUCAUCUAUUCUCUCUCCUCUCUUUCUUUUUCUCAUUCUCUCUCUAACACGGUGAGACCCAAUACCACCGCUGCCGCAGAUGAUGGAGAAGUCAGGCAGAUCGAUCAAUCAAACGGAGCUCUGGGUUUGUGGCCGGCGGUAGGUGGUGAGCACCGGAUGAAGAACAGGCGGCCCUAGAAAUGAGUUUAGUGACCAAAGGACAGGAGCACAAUUUCAAAUGAUGAAUUCUGCAGGCCAAUAUCUCAAGUGGACACUGAAAUAUUACGUCACCUACGUAAGGGUGUGAAGGUGGGAUUUGAUGAAGAAAUGUUCAGGUCUCACCUUGGUUUUGGCUGUCUCAGAGAUUAUUUGGAGUUUGAGCUUCAGAAGCGAUAUAAAGAAGCUGCAACAGCAACUCUGGUUUGCUUGAACAACAUUGCAACAAAGUCACUGUUGAACUAGCCAGAAUGGACUUUAAAAUAGUGGCCAAUUCUGAUGUUGCAUAUCUUUGAAGAUCUGCAAUGCUGCAUGCUGCUUCCAUCUGCAACCAUGUGAGCAGCAGAUCCUUCCCCUGAACAAUGGGGAAGACAACAGAAGAGGAGCAGUCGGAGAGUGGGAUUGGAAGCUGGCCUGGUGUUACAACAAAUAUCAAACCUCCCAAUGCCACCUUCGACUCUAUGAGGAAGGUGCUUUUUGAAAGUGUGAUGCUUUUAUUUUCGCUGCGCCACAUACUCUAUGGGAUGUCCUCUAGUAUAAAGAUUUUUUGUAAAAGCAAUCAUGAAGUUCCGUUUAUCCGCCUUAUUUUGAUUUGGUUCUGCCAAUUGAAUACAAUCAAGUGGAAUCCGAUUUGAAUGCAAGAAACUGGAGAUCAGGGCAUUUUUUUAUUUUGAUAAAUUGUGACAGAUGGCAAAUAUGUUACUUGCCCAUGCUGGUCGAGGUGGAGGGAGAGGAGUUUCUGAAGCAGCUGCAGAGAUUGCAGAUGCUGUUGCACGGCCAUGGCUUGCUCCCCUUCUUGACACUUUAUGUGAUCGGCUAGAUUUUAUGUCGGGGAACCUCUUUGAUCUAGCUGUUGAGAGAAAUCACCACUGCGGCUCAGACUAUGGAAGAAAUAAUGGAGAUAUUGAUGGGUAUGUGGGUUUCCAUGCUGCUUUAUGACACUCUUAACUGUUCUAUAUAGAGGAAAUUGCGAAACACUGCAAGCAGCUAGUUUGGCACCAUCUUGAUUCAGUUACAAGCCUAUAGUCUCUGGAGUGCUAUGAUAUUGACUUAAAAGGGGA